rnacentral:snoRNA from 1 species
AUCCUUUUGUGGUUCAUACAAUGUGAUGACUGGGUUUCUGCAUCUGCACCACUGUGACAGGUGCCUCUCAGACUGUUGGAAAGACUUGGGCAUGUUACCUACCAGGCG